rnacentral:lncRNA from 10 species
GGGGACCAGAACCCGCUGGCUCUAGAAAGUGCCCCUCGCCCAUCCCUGCCCAUGGGUUGCAUCAGCAGCGUGUCUUCUUUGUUCUCUCCCUGAAGGGUAGGAUGCUCAUGACCUUGGCCUUGCAGUUUGGGUGGGUGCACCUCCUGUCCUGGUGCUGACAUCUGGAUGAUUUAUGAACAUCAUUACCCUUUCACUGGACUCUUACUCUUCGGAGUCUUCAGAGCUGCCUGGGCCUAGCGCCCAAGAAGUUUGCUCCUUGCAUCAAUGGCGAUGCUAGACAUAUUCUACUGGCUGUGGCCCAAAGGCUGGAGGUGGAACUGUAAGAGCAGAGAGGAGGAGAAGGCUCACCAUGAAGACAAAAGAAGUCCUGAGCCUUGGAUUUUCUUCCUCUAGGGCUUUGUGGACCCACAGAUUGGUAGAAGUUCUGUGAGGGCUGACUUCUCCCCAUCUGUCCCAGAUGGAUCCCUUAAGAAAAGAACACUGAGCCUCAGAGAGGUCAAGCAAUUGGCCCAAGAUCACACAGCCUGCAAGAAACAGAGAUGGGACUCAGACCCUGGUCUAUUUGGCUCCCAUGUGCCUUACUACUAUGUUAUACCCACCCCUCCAGGUCACCAGCUGGGAUGGGAGGCCAACUCUCCAAAUCAGAAGAGCUUUAUUGAAAAACAAAUGACAAAUAAAAGUUGUAUAUAUUCAAGGUAUACAAUGUGAUGCUUUGAUACAUUGUGAAAUGAUGACCUCAGUCAAGCUAAUUAAGAUAUCCAUCACUUCCUGGAGGUACCUUUGUGUCUAUAUGUGCUCCGAGCCCCUGGAACAAUGUUGUUCAUUCUGCGGAUGCUCAGCAAGCCCUUGCUGACUGUCUUUAUUUCUUCACCUGCAAUAAGAUCCCCCCAGGCCCAUAUGGAAACGUAAAUGUUCUUGAGGGACUAAUUCAGUGAGACUCUUCCAGGGGAAGUUCAGUCCUCCUGGGAAGUGAUUACACACUGAUGGAAUUUUUGCACACUGGAUGGAAAGAUGAUCUUUGCCUCUUGGCUGUGUCACAGUAAUAAGUGGGAGACUGAUUAUUUCUAAGAGUGCAGCUCUUCCCGGCACUGAUAAGAAUGGAAUGCAGCGCUACCAUGGAGAUUCGGGUCACUAAUUAGUCCCAGAAGCCUCUAGGCCUUGAAUCACUGUUAUAUUAAUUAUGCAUCAAAUUAGAAUGUUUGCAAAGGCUCAGAGCCAACUGUACUGCAGAACCCGGUGACAGCAUGGAGAGAUCAAGGAGUGUCCCGCCCAGCACACUGCAGGGACCAGCAGACAAAUCCACGCGGCCUGCCUGAGCGUGCAGUGACCCCGCCUGAUCUCUGAUACAGCUGUUCGCAACUCCUGCCAGAGAGCUUGUUAUCGGCACAGGGUGGACAAAAGAAGGAAAGGAAGAGAACGAUGGCUUCCCCUCAGUUCCAUAAUCUAAGCUCUACUGCGGUAAUAUCCAGCUGAGAAAAGACACAGGACAAUCAUUUGGGCACUUUAUUUCCAUGGUAACAAAUAGAAGAUUCUUCCAGAUGUUUGCUAACAUCGUGGAGGUAACAUGUCUGGACCGUUGUCUGAUAUUCAGUUUUUAUAGCUGGGGAGACAUGGCUUUAGCUUUGGGUAAACUAUUCUAUCUCUUCCUCCUCUUCCUCUGCCUCCUUCUCCUUCUUGUGUUCUCCAUGAGCAUAAAACCAAAAUAUACUUGAUGCUUUGUUGUAAAAUAAACAGAUGAUAAAUAGCAGUCUCUGUGACUGUUGGGUUAUAAUUCCAUCGAGGGCUGGGGUUGAAGUCAUAAACCACAAGAAGUGAAGCAUGACCCACAAAUAGCCUUCAGGAUGGAAUUACAGCCCCAUAAUUCAGAGUAGCCCUUUGAAAAAAUAAUUCCUAAACCUAGCUAUAAUUUGGGGAAAGAGCCACGACAGUGGUGACGUCUUCUCUAAUCAGUUCAUCAGUAGACAAAUUACUCCCCUUCGUUAUUCUGAUGAUAUUUAUUAACGUUGGGGUGAGCACCCAAUCUGUUUUCUAGGAGGUUACUGUUGAAACCAGGUAGCAGUCGCCCAAACAGAACCAAAGAAAGGGAAACUGGAGUCUCACAGUAAGAAAGUUCUCACCACAGAUGAAGGUCAAUGAGCAUGAGGUGAGAAGAGACAUUCAUUACUUUGGAACUGAUGAGAAAUAUUGAUUCCUGACCACAGGAGUAGUGGCCGAGUUUGUUUUGCGUGGAGUGUGGCAUAAAUUCCGUCCCUGUUCUGCAUCUUACUACUUCUCUAAAUGUCUUUGCUAUUUUCAAAACUGAUUCUGCUUGAUCUCAUAAUUCAUUAAAGCAAGUUGAUCUCAUGCACCCCAAGAGUUAUGAGAAGCUUUUUCAUGAUGGUUCUUGCAUGAUGAAAAUAAAUUCUCAUUUAUUACAGAGAAAAUAAACCGAACCCAACAAUUCUGUAGAAGGUGAAUGUUUAAAUGGCAGUUUCUUGUGAUCAUAAAUUAAACCAUCAAAAUCCCAUAAGGUUUCUCUGCAGCCUAGAUAUUAAAUAAAACAACAAACAUGCAAGGACUGGCAAGUGGUAAGGGCUUAAUACAUGGUCAUUCACUACCAUAAUUUGUACCAUAAAAUUCAGAAAUUCUUUACAUGCUUUGUGUGUUAUUAUCUACUUUGUCAAUGACGCUGAAGACAUGAGGAGAACAAGGGUCUCAUCUGACGCAUUAUGCCUUUCCACAUAGACAAUGUAGAAUAUUAUUUAAAACAGAGUCUACAGCAUGAAGAAAAUAGAAGCAACAGAAAACAACAAGCUAAUAUAUAAACUAUUAAGGCAAAAUGGACAAAGAAUAUGAUCAUUUAAAAGUCGAGCUUAUUGAGGUAUAAUUUGCAGAUAUGCUUUGUGUUUAAUUUGCUCCUUCUUUCCUAGUUUAAGGUGGAAACUUAGAUCAUUGAUUUGAGAUAUGUCUUCUCUUUCAAACACAAAUAUAUAAAAGUGUGAAUUUUACUCUAAGUACUGUUUUGGCAACAACACACACAUUUUGAUAUGUUAGGUUUUUAUUUUUGCUUUGGUUCAAACUAUUUUCUAAUUUUUCUUGUGAUUAAGUUUGAGAAUUUAACAAUAGAAAACAGAAAACAAAUACUUCGUUAUUGAUUUCUAUUUUAAUUUUGUUAUGAUCAGAAAACAUGCUUUGUAUGAUUUAAAGUCCUUUAAAUUUAUUGAGCCUUAUUUUUUGACCCAGAUAUGAUCUUUCUUUGUGAAUGUUGUGUCUGCAUUUGAAAAGAAUUUGUGUUCUGCUAUUGCUGGAUGGAGUAUUCCAUAGCUGUCAGUUAAGACAGUGGUUAGUGGUUCCAUUUAUCUUCUAUGUUUUUCUGUAUGCUUGUAUAUCUGAGAAAAGGAUGCUGAAAUUUCUAACUAUCACUGUGAAUUUGUCUGUUUCUCCUUUUGGUUCUGUCAUUUUUUAUUUUAUUUGUUUUGACAUUGUUAGGUAUUAUUAGGUGCAUGUACAUUUGGAACUGUUAUGCACUCAUGAUGAACUGAGUUCUUUCUUGUUAUAAAAUGUCUCCCUUUAGCCUACAUAAUAAUAUGUGUUCUGAGGCCUACUUUGUGUGAUAUGAAUUACAGCCAUUCCAGAUUUCUUUUGAUUAGCUUCUGCAUGGUACUUUUUUCAUCCUCUUCGUUUUAUCUAUAUAUUUAUACAUAUUGUAUAUUUCUUGUAGACAAAAAUAGGUAUGUCUUGCUUUUUAAAACCCAAUAUGACAAUCUGCUUUUUUAAUUAGAAUGUGAAGAAUUUUCUCUAAUAUUUCUUAUAAUAUAGGUCUGUAGUUUAUGGAUCCUAUCAGCUUUUAUUUGUAUAAAAAUAUUUUCUCUAUUUCUAAUUCACUCUCUAUUUUGCCUUCAUUUUUAAGAGAUAUAUUUCCUGGGAAUCCUAUGAUGACGGUUCUUUCUGUCAGCACUUUUAAGAUAUUCAUCCAUUUUCUUUUGGUCGGCAUAUUUUCUCAUAAGAAGUCUGCUGUCAUGCUUGUCUUUAUUACUCUGUAAGUAGUAUGUCUUUUAUCUCUGGCUGCUUUUAAGAUUUGUUUAUCUCUGAUUUUUAACAAUGGGAUCAUGAUGCGUUUUAGCAUAUACGUCUUUAUAUGUAUUCUGCUUGGGUUUCAUGGAGCUUUGUUGACAUAGUUUUCAUUAAAUAUAGAUAAACUUCUAGCUAUUAUUAUUUCUUCAUCUAUCUUCCCUCUUCCUUUCUGGGACUCUAAUUUCACAUGGUAGACAGCCUUGAUAUUGUUCCAUAGAUACUAGAUAUUAUUUUUGUUUUCGUCCAUCUUUUUUGUUUCUCUGUACUUAAUUUUGGAUAUUUUCUAUUGGCAUGUCUUUGAGUUCACUGAUCUCUUCUUCUGCAGUUCCAAAUUGGCCACAAAACUGUCCAGUAUAUUUUUUGUUUCAGAUCACAUAAUUUUCACCUCUAUCAGUUCCAUUGUGGUACCUCUCUCUCUUCUUUAAAAUAUAUUCCUUUCUGCUCCUCAUAGUGUUGUUUUUCCCUCCUUCUUGAGCAUAUUAAGCGUGUUUAUGAUAGUUAUGAUAGCUGUUUUAAAAUUUGUUUCUAAUUUCUGAAUUUCUGUCAUUUCUGUUUCACUUCAACUUAUUGGCCUUUUCUAGGUAUGGGCCAUAUAUUUCUGCAUUUUUGCAUACCUGAUAAGUUUUUAUUUGAUGUCAUAUAUUGUGAGAUUUUACAUUGUUGUGUGUGGAUUGUGUUAUAUUCCUUUUGAUAGUGUUGGACUUUGUCCUGGCAUCCAGUCAGAACAGUGAUUGCCUCUGGGAAGUGGUGAGAUUGAUGUUCAAGGUAAUUGAAUGGCUCUGUAUCUAGAUCUGGGUAUUGGUUACAUGGCUGUGUGCUUGCUACAAAACUCAUCCAUAUAUAUACACUUACAACAUGUGCAUUUUACUCUAAGUAAAUUACACUCAAAAAUAUUAUAAAAUGUUAUAUAUGACCAUUUAAAAAAUUUGAAAUAAUACAAUUAUAUAAAGAAUAACAACUAAAAGUCCUAUCUUCCUCCAUCUCAAUUGCACUGCCUCUUCAUUAUUCCUUCUUUCCCAAAAUCUUACCAUUCAUAAACCAGUUAAAUCCUUUUCUAUAUCACCUUCAAAAUCUUUAUCUAUGGAUUUACACCUGUAGCAUCAUGGUUAAGACCACAGGCUCUAGAAACAAGACUGCUUGGGACAGAAUCAUGGCUCUACUACUUAGUAGAUUCAUUUUGCCUAGUUUUGAACAUCAUACAAAUAGACAGAAAAAGUAGGCAUUUCUGUAUUUGACUUCCUUCCCUCAAUGUCAUAUUUUUGAGGUUCAUUGAUGUUGCUUAUGUCAAUAGUUUAUUCCUUUUUCUUGUACCCAGUUAUAUAUAUCAUUUUAUAAAUAUAACACCAUUUUCUUUUCUGUUCUCUGACUGAUAGACAUUUGGGUUGUAUCCAGUUUGGGCUAUCAUGAUAAAAGCUGCUGGGAAUAUUCUUGUACAAGUUUUUGGUGGAUACGUGUUUUUAUUUAUCUAGAGUAAAUAUUUAGGAGUGAACUUGCUGGGUCAUAGGGUAUGUUUAAAUCUAUUUAAAAAAACCUAACUAUUUUUAUUUAACAUUGCUUUCAGUAAAGUAUGAGAGUUCCAGUUCUUCUACAUCCUAACCAGCACUUGACAUGGGUCAGUCUUUUACAUUUUAGCCAUCUAAUAGGUGUGUUUUGAUAUCUUUUGUGACUUUAAUUUUCGUUUCCCUGAUUACUAAUGAUGUUAAUAUUUUCAUGUGCUUAUUUACCAUUUGUAUAUCUUCCUUUGUUAAGUAUUUGUCCAAGUCCUUUGCCUAUUGUUCUGUUAAAUAGUGCAGUGUAACACAGAUAAACCCAUAACUUAUUGGCUUAAAGAUUAGUUUUAAAUUUUGUUUAUCAAUCUUCCAUUUGGGCAGGAUUCAGUUUGGACAGCUGAUUUCUGCUCCAUGUGGCAUCAGUUGGAGGAGCUCGACUGGGGCUGGGUGUUCUCCCAUAUGGCUUACGUACAUGCCUGGCAAGUUGAUGCUGUCAGCAGGAAACUUCGCUAAGGCUGUUAGCCAGAUGCCUUUGUUCCUCUUCACUUGAGUCUGUCCAUUUGAUUGCUUGGACUUCCUCAAGCGUGGGGGCUGUGUUCUAAGGAUGUGUGUUUUAAGAGAACAGAAGUGAAUGCUGUCAAUCUCAUAAGGUCUUGACUUGGGCACUGGGUUAGUAGCUUCACUUCCAUCAUACUCUGUUGGUCAAAGCAGUGCAGAAUUCACUCAGAUUCAUAGGGAGAGGACAUAGACUGUUUCUUCGUGGGGGGAAUGAGACAACAAUUAAUCCACCAUAGUCCAUCCUCUGAUUGGACUGCAUGGUUGGAAUGAAUGAUUUGCAUCAAUCCCAUGUAAAAAAUAGAAUCAGUUCCUCCUAAGACCUAUGAAAAUUUUACACCUUGUCUCUAGCUUUCAUCCUCCAAUCAAACUUGAAGCUCUUAGGAAAAAGCCAGUUAAGUAUGGAUCUCAUCCCUUAAAUUUUCUUAUUAUUAAGGUAAUAUCAGCUCCAUUUCUGUUUGCUUCCAGUACUCUUCAGUGUUUUCAAACAAUUGAUUUUUAUAUUUUGUACAUAGUUUAUAAUUGCUUUUGGCAAGAUUAGCAUAAUAAAAGCUUCUCCUCCUACUGUUGAAAACAGAGUCUCUUUGUAUAACAUACAAAAUACAUUUUUAAAAUAUUUAUAAUGAGGCAGGGCACAGUAGCUCAUGCCUAUAAUCCCAGCACUUGAGAGGCUGAGGCAGGAAGAUCCCUUGAGGCCUGGAGUUCGAGACCAGCUUGGGCAACAUGGUGAGACCCUCAUUUCUACAAAAACAAACAAACAAACAAACAAACAAACAAACAAAAUUAAAAAAAAAAUUAGCCAGGUGUAGUGGUGUGUGGCUAUAGCCCCAGCUACUCAGGAAGCUGAUGGGCUCACUUAAGCCCAGUAGUUUUAGGCUGCUGGGAGUUUUAGGCUGAUGGGAGGAUCACUUAAGCCCAGUAGUUUUAGGCUGCAGUGAGCUAUGACCACACCACUUCCCACCAGCUUGGGCAACAGAGCAAGGCCCUGUCUCUAAAAAUAUAUAUAUUUAAAAUGAGGAAAAGUAAAAGUAACCCUAAACAAUAGUAUAUAAAAUGCAAACACCUAGUAAAAACAACAAAAAAAAAUUCACAUGGGAAAUGAUUUCUAGUCUUGAACAAUUUACUGAUUAUUUGACAUCAAAGAACAGCAUUGAAUGUAACAUAAGCAGGUUGCUUUAUAUGUUUGGGCUCAGAUAUUUAUCUGAAGGACAAGAGGUUUAGAUCAGACAAUGUAAAUAAUCCUUUAGAUGUUUGAGGCCUACGAUUCGAAUAACCUUAUAAUUAAAUGUAGCAUUUGAUUUCCAUUUUGGUGAAUGUAAAGAAAGCUUAAGAAUUUACAAUUUAUAUGGUCAGUAUGACAUCAGAAUACAGAAAAAAGAAAUUACCUCAAACCGUACAAUUAUCUUUUCAGAUGGAGCUUACAGUUCCUUUCUUCUCUAACAGGGUUCACAAGCUCAAGAAGUACCUGAAAUUGGGCUAGGAAAUAGUCACAGAGUAAACAUGGCUUGUUUUCUGAGGGUAUCAAUUUUACCUUAUAAUUUUGAGUAAAAUCACAUUCAUAAAUCAUAUUGCAUAAAAAUAAACUUAGAUAACUUAUGGUAUAAAAUACAAAUAUUAUAUAAAUAUUUAAAGCUUAAAAUAGAAAAAAAGUCUAUUUGGAGAGAAACCUUAGGGCAACUAUUUCAGUUGCUGGAGGAGAAAGACUUUGUCUCUUCUGGUAUUGUAAUAGAAAAGUUUGAGAAAUGCUAUAAAUUCACUGGGCGUUGGGCAAGAAGUCUAAAAUCCUGCUCUUUAUUUAAGAUCUGCAACCAUCAUUGGAUCUAUGCCAUAAAUAUGUUUUAUUUACCCAGACAUCUGCACUAUUUAUUUAGCUUUAGUCACUGAACGAACAGUUUUCAUUCUGUAUGAGGUGCUACCCUCAAAACUAUUUGUCUGUUUCUCAGUACGUUUUUGGUUGAUGGAGUUUGGAUGAAAUAUCUGUUUCUCUGACCCUCCACUUAAGGCAAAACAUAGCAGCCUGCCCUUCCUUUCCAGGUGCAGACAGAACUGAGAUUAGCAUGAACCAUUCCUUCCAGUUGACUACCAAGGGGUAAACUAUGAAGAGUUUUGCAUUGUGAUUUAGGGGUCUCAAUUGUUCUCCCUUCCACCAUGGGCUGUGAUAGUGCCUAAAGCACCAGUCCUCUGAGGUAGGACAGAGUGAUCUUGAUAGGCCAAUACUAUGAAAGAUGAGAGGGAAAUCCUCUCUCAAGCCAUUUGUCAUUUCUAAACACCUUGAUUCAAGCUAGUUGGCCAUAAUUUAAAAAUAAGCCCUUAAAUUAUUUAACACUCUUCCUAUUUAAAGUCAGACUCUAAUUCCUCUUCCCCUGAAUAUAGUCCAGCCAGUGACUUGCUUUACAAGAAUACACUUAGGCUGAACUGAUGCUGUGUGAUUUUUUUUUUUUUAAACUAGGGUAGGGAAGACAACUCAAUUCUGCCCAGAGAGCUCUUUUUCACUCAACUGAAUACGCACUGGGAGCCAUAAGCCAACAUGUAAGGAAUUCAGCUACUCAGAAGCUAUCAUGCUGGAAAGACCAUGUAGAAAACUUACAGACAUAGAAAAAGUUCCUUGAGGGCUCCAGCCCCCAGCUAUUUGAGAAUUCCAGGUCCAUGCCUCAGGCCUAUAAGCCAGGAGCUUUCAGAUGAUUCCAGUCUUCAAGCCAUCCCAGCUCCUGGUAAAUCGAGCAGAGAUGAGCCAUCCCCGCUAAGCCCUGCCCAAAUGGCAGAUUCAUGAGCAAAACAAAUGCUCUUGUUGUUUUAAGCCACUGAGUUUUGAGGUGGUUUGUUGGUUUGUUAGGUAGUAAUAGAAAAAUGGAUUCUUUCCUAUUACCUAGUCAAAUUCUGAGGAAAUGGGACAUAAGUAAAUCAUAUUUGUUUUCAUAUACAUUUCCUGUUUUAAAAUUGGGUUGUUUGUAGAUAAAAAGAGAAAGGCAAGGAGAGUUCAGAAUCACAAUGCACUAAAAGAAAGAGUUCAGAGAGGUGGGAAAUGAAAUACUUUCACAGAUAUCUCCAAUAAAUAUGCAUGUGCACAGAACCUUGAAAGUUUUAAAUUGGCAGGGAUCUUAGGAAUCAUAAAACUGAACCUACUUUUCAAAAGUAAAGUUCAAGGAAUUAACUCAUUUGGGCAGGAUUCCAGAGCCAGAAUAGAGCCCAAGAUUCCAAACCUAGCCACUGACUGCAGUACCUCUUUUCUCGAGGCAUGUAUAAUAAACUCCACCAAUUUAGCCAAAUAAUAAGGGCAAGAUCAAAUAAACAAAAAAGCAAUAGCAACAACAGCAACAAUUCUGCAUAACCUAACUGGCUAUUUCUAAAAGUAGUUGUCUUUGCUCUGCCUGUCCCUGUCUAUUGUCUCCUUGUGGAAUAAGUGUGUCCACCCCUGGGUCCUUGACAUUAAAGGGUUUGGGAAACUGCUACAGAAUUCGCAGUUCUAGUUCUCCAGGCAAGGGAGUUAAUGGAUCUCAGACAUGCUUAUGUUAUUUCACUACACACAGCAGUGUAUUUGUGGAGUGCUUACCAUGUGAUAGCAGCUGUACUAAGUACUUUAUGUACAUUAUUUCAUUUUAUCCUGCUUUGAAUUUUUUAUAAAUCAAGUUUAUUGUGGUAUAAUUUUUAUAUACUAAAAAGCACCCAUAUGAUAGUUUAAAGAGUUUAGACAAAUAUAUAGACCGUGUGACACCUAGCAUAAUCAACACACAGAAAAUUUUCAUUCCCCCACCCCCAAAAAGUUUCUUUAUGCUUCUUUGCAGAUAAUCCUCCUCCUGCUGUGCCCAGGCAACCCAAAGUCCUUUCCAUCACUAUCGAUUUUAUGCCUAUUCCCAAAUUUCAUAUAAAUAGAAUCCCACAUUAUGUAUUCUUUUGUGUCUGGAUUCUUUUGCUUGGCAUAAUGUUUUUCAGGUUCACCCGUAUAAUUGUGUGGACCAGGAGUUUGCAACUUUUUAUUGUUGAGUUUUAUUCCAUUGUAUAGAUAUACCACAAUCGGUUUAUCCAUUCUCCAAUUUAUGGAUUUUUUUUUCCAGUUUGGGGCUAUUAUGAUUAAAGCUGCUAUGAACAUUCUUGUAUAAGUCUGGGUAGAAAUAUUUUAUUUAUUUAUUUAUUUUUUGAGACAGAGUCUCACUCUGUUGCCCAGGCUGGAGUGCAGUGGUGCUAUAUUGGCUCACUGCAAGCUUUGCCUCCUGGGUUCACGCCAUUCUCCUGCCUCAGCCUCCCGAGUAGCUGGGACUACAGGCGCCUGCCACCACGCCCAGCUAAUUUUUUUUUUGUAUUUUUAGUAGAGACGGGGUUUCACCGUGUUAGCCAGGAUGGUCUCGAUCUCCUGACCUCGUGAUCCGCCCACCUUGGCCUCCCAAACUGCUGGGAUUACAGGCAUGAGCCACCACACCCAGCUGAAAUAUGCUUUUAUUUAAUUAUCUUAGGUCGAUGCCUAAGGGCGGGCCAUAUGGUAAGUGUAUAUUUAACUUUGUGAGACACUGCCAAACUGUUUUCCAAUAUGGUUGAAUCAUUUAUGUUUCUAUCUGCCAUAUGUAAGAGUUCCAGUUUCUCCACAGAUUUGCCACCCUACUAUGUGUGUAGUGGUAUCUCACUAAGGUAUCAAUUUGCAUUUUUCUGAUGUCUAAUGGUGUUGAGUACUGUGUCUUUAUUUGCUAUUUAUAUACCUUUUUUGAUGAAGUAUCUUUUCAAAUACAUUCCCCAUUUUAAAACGGGGCUAUUUGUUUCCUUAUUAUUGAAUUGUAGGUGUUCUUCCUGUAUAUAUUCUGGAUACAAGUCCUUUGUUAGAGAUAUGUACUGUCAAUUAUAGAUGCUGUACUGUAAAAGUCUGUCACUUGCCUUUUCACUUUCUUGACAGCAUCUUUCAAAGAGCAGGAAUAUUAAAUUUUGAUAAAACCUAAUCAGUUUUCUUUCCUUUAUGGAUCAUGCUUUUGAUGCCCUAUUAUGUUAAAGUUUUAAAGUUGGACUGUUGAGAGGGAAAAGGAGCCAAUCUGAAAAGAUAAUCCAAGGCAUGACUAAGAAAGCAUUAGUUCUGAAUUCUGGGAUUACAUCAGAAUCAGCAGGUGAUUUAAAAACACCUGUCUAGGACCUAGCCCCAGAAAUUCCAAUUUAGACUGAUCUAUGGUGUAGCCUAAUUGUGAAUAGUCUUUAGAGGCUCUUUUGGUGAUCCUAAUGUGCAGCUAUGGAUGAGAAUUAUCAAAAAAGAGGUAAAGUGUGUGCAAAAUAUGUGAAAUUUAUUUCAGCAUAUAUAAGGCUUUCAUUAAUGGGGUAUUUUGUAUAAUUCUAAAGGAGUCACAUGUUAAAGUGCACAACUGAAAUCUAGUAUGUAAUAAUCAUUUGUAUUUAUACUUUUUUGAGACAAAGGAAGUAGAUAAGCAACACCCCUGAGUUUCAGACAUCACAAUGCCAUAGUGUGCUUUAUGGGAAUAUAGAGAUGCAAGGAAAAGUGUCUGAAAAAGACACACACACACAUACACACACACACACACACACACAAGAUAGUCAAGAUGCUUUUAUAAUCAUUUUAAGAGGUCUUCAUCAUGAGGUUAAAUAAGUCAUUAAAAAAAGCAAAAUAGGCAGAAAAAGCUUUUUAGCAGAAAGUUUAUAAAAAUUGCUGGGGAGUAACAAACAGGAUAAAUAGGGAAAAUCUACAGCUGAUACAUGUUGAAGUAAUUGACUUAAAAGGUUUAUUUAGAGGAAGUAUUUUGCUAUAGCAGAGUGAGAAGUUUAGCAAUGCUUCUUCCCCCAAAAAACAAGUAUAAAAUUGGAAAAACUAUUUAAAAAAUGGUCUCAGGGCUCUGAAAAUCAACCAAAGAAAAAUAACAACUUGAGAAAUGGUUAUUGGUGAAAAAUGGCUAGAAAUGUGGAUAAGAAAAGUGUAGAUUCUAUAGAGAUCUACAGCCUUCUUGCCUAGGACUAUCCCUCUCCCUUAACUCCUCCUAAAACUUGGUUAGCGCGCUAGUUUUAGCAAGGCAGGACUGACUAUGAAAACCAGCAGUACUGCUAGAGGGGGUUGACUUGAUUUGAACUGGAGGUUCCAAACCUAUUCCUGGCAGCAUUAUCAAGAAAAGUAGGAUACAUGGUAGGAAAUAAAUGGGGAAUUUUUACAGCUCUGCUAACCUGAGUUUGCAGUACCAGUUAGGGCUAGUUAUGGGCUAGUCAAACUCUUAACAGGAAGUUUCUGGAAAUGAGAGUCAUAUAAGGGCUAGAUAAGCUCUCUGUGCCUUUCUGGCUGGAUGAGAAACUACGUUUACAGGAGAGCUAUGUAAAGUAAAAGCUAGGACAGACUUGAAAAGUGCCUGAACUUUGAAUGCGUCCUCUCUCCUGUCUGCCCCACCCAAUUCACACACAGAUCUAUUAGCAGAAGGUGGAAACCUUACAGGCUUAAGGUAUUUGAGCACAACCUCUUAUCAAUCACUGACAAACCAGCAGAUACAGGACUACACAUUGGAAGCUAGGCAAAAAUGAAUGAAUGAAUGGAGAAUUAUUUUAAACUGAGCAGAGACAUCAGUGGCAGCACAUCUCAGAGAAACAGAUUCUGUAAACUAGGUUGGAGUAAAUUAUCUAAAGGAACAACUAUCUUGUGGGAAAAUAUCAUAUCCCAGAGUUGUUACAAUAUUAAUCUAAAAUGUCCAGUUUUUUUUCUUUUUAAGACAAGUUUUGGCUGUAUCACCCAGGCUGGAGUGUAGUGGUGCAAUCUCAGCUCACUGCAACCUCCACCUCUUAGGCUCAAGCCAUCCUCCCACCUCAGCCUCCCAAGUAGCUGGGUCUACAGGCACGCACCAACACGCCUGGCUAAUUUUUGUAUUUUUUUGUAGAGGCAGGUUUUCACCAUGUUGCCCAGGCUGGUCUUGAACUUGUGAGCUCAAGUGAUCCAUCCACCUUGGCCUCCCAAAGUGCUGGGAUUAUAGGCAUGAGCCACCACGCACAACCAAAUGUCCAGUUUUCAAUGAAACAUCAUGACAUAGUCAAAGAAACAAGAAAAUGUGAUCCAUAGUCAGGAAAAAAACAGUCCAUGGAAACUGACUUUGAGUGCACCUAAAUAUAUUUAGCACACUAAGACUUCAAAACAGCUCUUGUAUUUUAAAAAUUAAAGUAUGAUGAUAAUGACACUGUAAUAGGAAUGCUCAGUAGAGAAACAGAAGCAAUAAUAAGGAACCAAUGGAACUUCUAGAAUUUAAAAGCCCUAUAGCUGAAAUAAAAAAUUAAAUGGGCACAUUUGGGGUGGCAAAAGAAAUAAUUGGUGAACUUCAAAUAGAUCAAUAGAAAUUAACCACUCUGAAGAACAUGGAAAAACAUAGAUUGAAGAAAAAUGAGCAGAGCCUCAGAGACCCAUGUGGCAAUAUCCAGCAUACCUACUAACACGUAAUGAGAGUCCCAGAAAGAGAAGAUAGAGAUACAUGCAGGAAAAAUACUUGAAGAAAUAAUGGCUAAACAUUCUGCAAAUUUAAUGAAAAACAUGAAUUAUACAUCUACAAAGCUCAACAAACUCUAAAUAGGAUAAACAUUAAAAUCCCCAUCUAUACACAUUAGAGUAAAAUUAACUGAAAACCAAACACAAAUAGAAAAUCUUAAAAGCAGCAAGAGAAAACCAGUUCAUCCUAAACUGGGGAAUAACAAGACAAUUAAUGCCUGAUUUCUUAUCUGAAACAAUGGAGGCCAGAAGGCAGUGGAAGGACACAUUUAAAGUGAUGAAAAAAAAAACUGUCAACCACAAAUUCUGUGUGCAAAACAAUUCUUCAAAAACAGGUGAAAUAAAGAAACUCCCAGAUGAAGACUGAGAUAAAUUAUUGCUGACAGAUACAGCUUCCAAGAAAUUCUACAGAAAAUGAAAGGAAAUGACACCAUAAGGCAAAUCCACAGGGAGAAAUGAAGAGCACCAGAAAUGGUAACUACGUGGGUCAAUAUAUAAGAUUGUAUAAACAUGUAUUUUCUAUUUUUUUUAAAACACAUCAGAUUUUGUGAAGCAAUAAUUGAAACACUAUUGUUGAGUUUAUAAUGUUAUAUAGAUAUUACAUAUGUGACAAUAAUAGCACAUAUAAGGAGAUGGGAUGAAAUUAAGCUAUAUAAGAGCAUCAGUGUUGGAUUUUGCUGAAAGUAAAUCAGUAUUAACAUGAAUUAUAUUGAUAAAUUAAGAGUACACCUUAAUCCCUACAGCAAACACAAAGAAAAUAAAGAAUCAAUAGAAUAAUAAAGUGAUACACCAAAAAUAAUUGUUUAACCUAAAGACAGCAGUAAAGGAGUAACAGAGGAACAACAACAAAAAGACAUAAACUAUAUUUAAAACAAACAGCAAAAUGGCAGACAUAAGUCCAAUUCUAUCAAUAAUCAUAUUAAAUAGUCCGUUAAAUCAACUAAACACUGUAAUGAAAAUACAAAGAUUGGCAGAUGGGAUACAAAAGAAAGAUUCAACUAUGUGCUGACCACGAAAGACAUACUUGAAAUGCAAAGAUACAACUAAAUUUAAAGUAAAAGAAGUGGAAAAGAUAUAUUAUACAAACAGUAAUCAUAAGAAAGCUGGAGUGGAUAUAUUAAUAUCAAACAAAGUAGACUUUCAGAAAAUAAAUAUUACUAGAGAUUCAGAGGGACAUUUCAUAAGCAUAAAAAAGUCAAUACAUCAGGAAGAUACGAUGUUAUUAGCACCAUGCUCUAACCAACUGAGCUGACCAGCCAUCACAUGAUCUUAAAUAUAUUUGUACCUAACAACAGGAUUCUGAAAUACAUCAAGUAAAAGCAAAGGGCAUUGAAAAGGCAAUGUAGAUGAUUUAAUAAUUAUAGUUCAAGAUUUUAAGACCCUUGAUACUGACAGAGAAAGUAGACAGAAAAUUAGUAAAGAGAAAAGGUUAAAAAAAACGAUUAUUCAACAUGGUGGUUUAACUGACAUGUAUAGAACACUUCCCCCUGCAGCAGCAAAAAAUAUUCUUUCAAGUGCAUUUGGAAGUUUCUUCAGGACAGAUCAUACGAUAGGCUUUAAAGCAAGUUUUCGGCCAGGUACGGUGGCUCAUGCCUGUAAUCCCAGCACCGUGGGAGACCGAGGCGGGUGAAUCACCUGGUGUCAGGAGUUUAAGACCAGCCUGGCCAACAUGGUGAAACCCCAUCUCUACUAGAAAUGCAAAUGUCAGCCAGGUCCACACCUGGACACCAGGUAUCAGUCACCUGUAAUCCCAGCUACUCAGGAGGCUGAGGCAGGAACAUCGCUUGAACCCAGGAGGUGGAGGUUGCAGUGAGCCGAGAUCACACCACUGCAUGCACUCCAUCCUGGAUGACAGAACGAAACUACGUCUCCAAAAAAAAAAAAAAAAAAAAAAAAAGCAAGUUUUCAUAAACAUAAAAAGAUUGAAGUCAUUCAAAGUAUGUCCUUCAAUCACAAUAGAAUUGAAUUCAAAAUCAAUGACAGAAUCUUGAAAAAUCCUUUACAAUAUCUGGAAAUUAGAUAACACAUUUCUAAAUAACUCAGGAUCAAAGAAGAAAUUGAAUGUAAAAUUAAAGAAUAUUUUGUACUGAAUGAAAGUGAAAAGACAACAUAUGAAAAUUUAUGGGAUGCAGCUAAACAGUGCUUAGACAAAAAGUUGCAGCUUUAAACAUGUAUAUUAAAAGUUGUAUUCACCGUUUAGGAAGGUAAUUGUUACAAAUUAGAAAAUGUUUUAUUGUAUGCACAAAUUUUAGACUUCGUUGGUUUAAUGUUGGAGCCUCCUCAUCAAAGGUUUUUAAGUCUUUAAAUACAUAGCAAUACAUUAUAUAUAUAUAUAUAUAUAUAUAUAUGCAUGUAUAUAAGUGCAUAUAAUAUACUGUUAAAUGCUUUAUUCAGAAAAGAUCUUGUAGAUAAUCACCACCAUGUAUUGAUAUUCUGAUAUAGUUUGAACGUAUGUCCCUACCAAAUCUCAUGUUGAAUUUCAAUCCCCAGUGUUAGAGGUAGGGCCCAGUGGGAGGCCUUUGGAUCAUAGGGGUGGAUCCCUCAUGAAUGGCUUGGGCCAUGCCCUUGGUGAUAAGUGAGCUCUUACUCUGAGUUCAUACAAGAUGUGGUCAUUUAAAAGUGUGUGUCACCUCACCCCGACUCUUUCUUUCUUGCUCCUUCUCUGCCAUGUGAAGUGCCUGCUCCCCCUUCACCUUCCACCAUGAUUGGAAGCUUCUUGAGGCCUCCCCAGAAGCAGAUGCUGGUGCUGUACUUCCUACACAGCCUACAGAACCAUGAGCCAAUUAAACAUCUUUUCUUAUAAAUUAUCCGGUCUCAGGUAUUUCUUUAUAGCAAUGCAAGAAUUGGCUAACACAGAUUCUAUCCACUUGUGGGGCACUGGGCUAAGCACUUUAUAUAUACAAUUUCAUUUAAUAUUCACAAUCCUAUUUUCAUGCGCGUCCGUGUGAAGAGACCACCAAACAGGCUUUGUGUGAGCAGUAAAGCUGUUUAUUUCACCUGGGUGCAGGUGGGCUGAGUCCGAAAAGAGAGUCAGUGAAGGGAGAUAAGGGUGGAGCCCUUUUAUAGGAUUUGGGUAGGUAAAGGAAAAUUACAGUCCAAGGGGGUUUGUUCUCUGGCGGGCAGGAGUGGGGGUCUCAAGGUGCUCAGUGGGGGUGAUUUUUGAGCCAGGAUGAGCUAGGAAAAGGACUUUCACAAGGUAAGGUCAUCACUUAAGGCAAGACCCGGGCAUUUACACUUCUUUUGUGGUGGAAUGUCAUCAGUUAAGGUGGGGCAGGGCAUAUUCACUUCUUUUGUGAUUCUUCAGUUACUUCAGGCCAUCUGGGCAUAUACGUGCAAGUCACAGGGGAUGCGAUGGCUUGGCUUGGGCUCAGAGGCCUGAUAUUCCUGACUUCUUAUAUUAAUAAGAAAAAUAAAACACAAUAGUGUUGAAGUGUUGGAGCGGCGGAAAUUUUUGGGGGGUGGUAUGGAGAGAGAAUGGGUGAUGUUUCUCAGGGCUGCUUCAAGCGGGAUUAGGGGAGGCGUGGGAACCUAGAGUGGGAGAGAUUAAGCUGAAGGGAGGUCUUGUGGUAAGGGGUGAGAUUGUGGGGAUGUUAGAAGAAACAUUUGUCAUAUAGAAUGACUGGUGAUGGCCUGGAUAUGGUUUUGGAUGAAUUGAGAAACUAAAUGGAAUAAGAGAAGGAGUAAAACAGAUAUAAAAGGUCUAAGAAUUGGGAUGACUCAGGAUAUCUGAUUAGAGAGUGCCUAAGGAGAUUCAGCAUAGUCCUGCCAGCAGAGAUUAUUUAUUUACUUCAAGAGUUAAGAGUGGCAGUUUGGGGAUAGCACCAGGAGAUAUCAGCUGUGAUGGCUUGGAAAAACAGUGUAAACCGGCAGUGUAAACAAGAACAGGGCAUGUAUGAGUAGUUGAGAACGGUGAACAGGAGUAUGACUAGACAGAAGAUAGUAGGGAUGACAAGUUUUUUGGGGCACAGUCUAAGUUGGUCUGGUGUCUGGAAUGAGGCUGGGGCCUAAUAAAAAGGAGCAUCUAUACAGGAGCUUAAAUGGGCUGUACCCUGUAGCAUUCUGAGGACAGGCCUGAAUUCUGAGAAGGGAAAGUGGUAAAAGUAUUGUCCAGUCCUUUUUAAGUUGGUGGCUGAGCUUGGUGAGGUGUGUUUUUAAAAGACCUUUAGUCCAUUCUACUUUUCUUGAAGACGGAGGACCGUAAGGGAUGUAAAGGUUUCACUGAAUACUAAGAGCCUGAAAACCUGCUUGGCUGAUUUGACUAAUAAAGGCUCAUCUGUUGUCAGACUGUAUUGAGGUGGGAAGGCUAAACUGAGGAAUUAUGUCUGACAGAAGGGAAGAAAUGACUGCGGUGGCCUUCCCAGACCCUGUAGGAAAGGCCUCUACCUAUCCAGUGAAAGUAUCUACCUAGACUAAGAGAUAUUUUAGUUAUCUGACUCAGGGCAUGUUGAGUAAAGCUAAUUUGCCAGUCCUGGGUGGGGCAAAUCCUCGAGCUUGAUGUGCAGGGAAGGGAGGGGGCCUGAAUAAUCCCUGAGGAGUAGUAGAAUAGCAGAUGGAACACUGAGAAGUUAUUUCCUUGAGGAUAGAUUUCCACGAUGGAAAGGAAAUGAGAGGUUCUAAGAGGCGGGCUAGUGGCUUGUACUAUAGCAUAACCUGCCUUUGCUGGUGUGUGGCGAUUAGGCCUGGUGGAACCGCCAUCAAUAAAUCAAGCGUGAUCAGCGUGAGGAACAGGAAAGAAGGAAAUUUGGGGAAAUGGGGUGAAUGUCAGGUGGAUCAGAGAGAUAGUCAUGGGGGUCAGGUGUGGUAUCAGGAAUAAUGUGGGAGGCCAGAUUGAAGUCUGGGCCAGGAACAACGGUAAUUGUGGGAGACUCAACAAAGAGUGAGUACAGCUGAAGGAGCCGGGAAGCAGAAAGUAUUUGCGUCAGGUAUGAGGAAGAAAAUAGAUUUUGGAAGUUAUGAGAACUGUAGAGAGUGAGUUGAGCAUAGUUUGUGAUUUUUGAGGGCCUCUAAAAGUAUUAAAGCAGCAGCAGCCGCUGCACGCAGACAUGAGGGCUAGGCUAAAACAGUAAGGUCAAGUUGUUCGGACAGAAAGGCUACAGGGUGUGGUCCUGGCUCUUGUGUAAGAAUUCUGACCGCGCUAACCAUGCCUAGGAAGGAAAGGAGUUGUUGUUUUGUAGAAGAUGCUUGGGUUUGAGAGAUCAGUCGAACACGAUUGGCAGGGAGAGCACGUGUGCUUUUAUGAGAAUUAUGCCGAGAUAGGUAACAGAUGAGGAAGAAAUUUGGGCUUGACUGAAGUAAUGGGGGCUGUCUGUGAAGCUCUGCGGCAGUACAGCCUAGGUAAUUUGCUGAGCUUGAUGGGUGUCAGGGUCAGUCCAAGUGAAAGCAAAGAGAGGCUGGGAUGAAGGGUGCAAAGCAAUAGUAAAGAAAGCAUGUUUGAGAUCCAGAACAGAAUAAUGGGUAGUAGAGGCAGGUAUUGAGGAUUGGAGAGUAUAUGGGUUUGGCACCAUGGGGUGGAUAGGCAAAACAAUUUGGUUGAUAAGGUGCAGAUCCUGAACUAACUUGUAAGGCUUGUCUGGUUUUAGGACAGGUAAAAUGGGGGAAUUGUAAGGAGAAUUUAUAGGCUUUAAAAGGCCAUGCUGUAGCAGGCGAGUGAUAACAAGCUUUAAUCUUUUUAAAGCGUGCUGCGGGAUGGGAUAUUGGCGUUGAGCGGGGU